rnacentral:rRNA from 1 species
UACGGGGGGGAGCAAGCGUUGUUCGGAUUUACUGGGCGUAAAGGGCGCGUAGGCGGUCAGCACAAGUCAGUUGUGAAAUCUCCGAGCUUAACUCGGAACGGUCAACUGAUACUGUGCGACUAGAGUGCGGAAGGGGCAACUGGAAUUCUCGGUGUAGCGGUGAAAUGCGUAGAUAUCGAGAGGAACACCUGCGGCGAAGGCGGGUUGCUGGGCCGACACUGACGCUCAUGUACGAAAGCGUGGGGAGCAAACAGG